AUUGAACGCUGGCGGCAGGCUUAACACAUGCAAGUCGAACGAGUGGCGGACGGGUGAGUAAUGCUUGGGAAUCUGGCUUAUGGAGGGGGAUAACGACGGGAAACUGUCGCUAAUACCGCGUACCAUAGGAUGAGCCCAAGUGGGAUUAGGUAGUUGGUGGGGUAAUGGCCUACCAAGCCGACGAUCUCUAGCUGGUCUGAGAGGAUGACCAGCCACACCGGGACGGAGACACGGCCCGGACUCCUACGGGAGGCAGCAGGGGGGAAUAUUGCGCAAUGGGGGCAACCCUGACGCAGCCAUGCCGCGUGUAUGAAGAAGGCCUUCGGGUUGUAAAGUACUUUCAGCGGGGAGGCGUUACCCGCAGAAGAAGCACCGGCUAACUCCGUGCCAGCAGCCGCGGUAAUAC
rnacentral:rRNA from 1 species